rnacentral:rRNA from 1 species
UACGAAGGGGGCUAGCGUUGCUCGGAAUCACUGGGCGUAAAGGGCGCGUAGGCGGGCUCUUAAGUCAGGGAUGAAAGCCCAAGGCUCAACCUUGGAAUUGCCUUUGAUACUGAGGGCCUUGAGACCGGAAGAGGUCGGCGGAACUGCGAGUGUAGAGGUGAAAUUCGUAGAUAUUCGCAAGAACACCAGUGGCGAAGGCGGCCGACUGGUCCGGUUCUGACGCUGAGGCGCGAAAGCGUGGGGAGCAAACAGG